CGGGCCAGAGGGAGGAACUUUGGGAGGGAGGUGUCCUUGCCAUGGCAGCCAUGGCAACUGCACAACACAACCCUUCCCCGCCCACCCUGCAGUCAGGUCGGGCUGGGCCAGCCAGGUGAGAACUCAGAAGCCAAAGGCUACAGGUGACUCAGGUGCCUGAAGGAGUUUCGGGAGAAGAGAACAGCCAUCCCACAAGUUGAUUCUGUAGGUGGAGUCAGAAGCCAGAGCUGAGAGUGGAAGGUGCCCCAGAGGUCAUCUGGCCCCAGCUUCAGCCUGCUGCAGGAACCUUCUGAGUGCCUACCCAAAGCAGCAGGCAAGUCCAUGGCUGGCAGGUGUCUGUCUCCUGGACACCAGGAAGAAGAGAGUGCCAAAGACCCAGUGCCAAAACUACCAUCAGUGCGGCCAAGAAGCCGCCUGCCCAGCAUUGAUGAGACCAGACAAACGGGUGUAGGCCCUGCCUCCCGCCGUGGUUCAGUGCUGGGCCUAACCAUGUCCCUCUCACACCGAAACUCGCUGGCUGGAUCAGGAACUGGUCAUGGAGGUCGGCGACAGUCCUUGGGCCCAGUGCCCCCUCUUGGCUGGCGGGUCAGUUUCUCAGGCCUGCCCCUAGGGCCUGUCCGUCGAGUGGCACCUUCAUACCGUAUGGAGCCUGCACCAGGGGAGCGCUGGGAGACUGCACGUGCACAGCGUGUCCUGGAGGCAGUGUUGGAUAAGAGGCUAUGCAACACCAGCUACUGUGGCUUCGAGGCCGGGCAGCUGGCACGGGAGCUGUGUGAGCAGGUGCGCCUGUGCCUGCGCGAGCUCAGCCCACCUCGUUACAAGCUGGUGUGCAGCGUGGUGCUGGGGCCACGUGCAGGCCAGGGCGUGCACGUGGUCAGUCGUGCUCUGUGGGAUGCAGCGCAUGAUGGGCUGGCCUCUGCUACCUUUACGAAUGCCUCACUCUUCGCGGUGGCCACAGUCCACGGGCUGUACUGUGAGUAAGCAGACCUCCCUCCAAAUUCUGUAAAAUGGUUUAUUAUCCCCGGAGGAAGCCCCCCAGGGGCUCACAUCCCAAUAAAUAAAUGUUUGUCAAUAAAUAAAAGUGGUCCAUAAAUAAUACCCCCUAGCUGGGGGCUAAGGCUCAGGCUUAACUCAGAGAAGGGGUAAGAAAGGACAGGCUGCCCCUAACUCCAGUAAAGCUGGUCCCUGAUUCCCUGGGGGGAUUCAUCCAGGAGCCCCCAGUGAGGCACCAAAGGGACAGGGAGGGCCACAAAGGCAAGGGCCAGAGUCUUGCAGGCACAGGCCUCACAGGCCUCAGGUUUG